GAAUAUUGGACAAUGGGGGGAACCCUGAUCCAGCCAUGCCGCGUGUGUGAAGAAGGCCUUUUGGUUGUAAAGCACUUUAAGCGAGGAGGAGGCUACCUGGAUUAAUACUUUAGGAUAGUGGACGUUACUCGCAGAAUAAGCACCGGCUAACUCUGUGCCAGCAGCCGCGGUAAUACAGAGGGUGCGAGCGUUAAUCGGAAUUACUGGGCGUAAAGCGUGCGCAGGCGGUUUUGUAAGACAGAGGUGAAAUCCCCGGGCUCAACCUGGGAACUGCCUUUGUGACUGCAAGGCUAGAGUACGGCAGAGGGGGGUGGAAUUCCGCGUGUAGCAGUGAAAUGCGUAGAGAUCUGGAGGAAUACCGAUGGCGAAGGCAGCCAUCUGGCCUAAUACUGACGCUGAGGUACGAAAGCAUGGGGAGCAAACAG
rnacentral:rRNA from 1 species